AAGCACUCUGGUUUGAUUUUUUCGGAAUGAAAACAGUUUGACUGAGCCGCGGACGGGUGAGUAACGCGUGGGUAACCUGCCUUACACAGGGGGAUAACAGUUAGAAAUGACUGCUAAUACCGCAUAACCCGCUAGGGCCGCAUGGCCCGGACGGAAAAGAUUUUAUCGGUGUAAGAUGGACCCGCGUCUGAUUAGCUGGUUGGUGAGGUAACGGCUCACCAAGGCGACGAUCAGUAGCCGACCUGAGAGGGUGAUCGGCCACAUUGGGACUGAGACACGGCCCAAACUCCUACGGGAGGCAGCAGUGGGGAAUAUUGCACAAUGGGGGAAACCCUGAUGCAGCAACGCCGCGUGAGUGAAGAAGUAUUUCGGUAUGUAAAGCUCUAUCAGCAGGGAAGAAAAUGACAGUACCUGACUAAGAAGCCCCGGCUAACUACGUGCCAGCAGCCGCGGUAAUACGUAGGGGGCAAGCGUUAUCCGGAUUUACUGGGUGUAAAGGGAGCGUAGACGGCUGCGCAAGUCAGAAGUGAAAGCCCGGGGCUCAACCGCGGGACUGCUUUUGAAACUGUGUAGCUAGAGUGCAGGAGAGGUAAGUGGAAUUCCUAGUGUAGCGGUGAAAUGCGUAGAUAUUAGGAGGAACACCGGUGGCGAAGGCGGCUUACUGGACUGUAACUGACGUUGAGGCUCGAAAGCGUGGGGAGCAAACAG
rnacentral:rRNA from 1 species